UGGGUCGGCCGGACGGCCGCGUGGCGCGUGAGCGCACCGAGGAACGUCCGGGCUCCACAGGGCAGGGCGGUGGGUAACACCCACCCGGAGUGAUCCGCGAGACAGUGCCACAGAGAGAAGACCGCCCGUUCGACCCGGAAGGGCCGGAUGGGUAAGGGUGAAAGGGUGGUGUAAGAGACCACCGGGGAGCGCGGUGACGCGCUCCGCCAGGUAAACCUCGCCCGGAGCAAGACCAGACAGAGGACGUUGACGCGGCUCGCCGAGUCCUCGGGUAGGUCGCUGGAACGACACGGCAACGUGUCGUCGAGAGAGAUGGCCGUCAAGGGAGCGAAGAACUCCUGAACAGAACCCGGCGUACAGGCCGGCCCACUCG
rnacentral:RNase_P_RNA from 1 species